rnacentral:rRNA from 1 species
UACGUAGGGUGCAAGCGUUGUCCGGAAUUAUUGGGCGUAAAGAGCUCGUAGGCGGUCUGUCGCGUCUGCUGUGAAAACUCAGGGCUUAACCCUGAGCUUGCAGUGGGUACGGGCAGACUAGAGUGCGGUAGGGGAGACUGGAAUUCCGUGGUGUAGACGGUGAAAUGCGCAGAUAUCAGGAGGAACACCGGUGGCGAAGGCGGGUCUCUGGGCCGUAACUGACGCU